UACGGAAGGGGCAAGCGUUGUUCGGAAUCAUUGGGCGUAAAGGGCGGCGUAGGUGGUUCUGUAUGUCUACCGUGAAAGCAUACAGCUCAACUGUAUUUUGUCGGUAGAAACUGCAGGACUUGAGGCUGGGAGGGGCUGGGUGGGAAUUCCCUGUGUAGCGGUGAAAUGCGUAGAGAUCCGGAAGAACACCGGUGGCGAAGGCGGCCUGCUGGGCAGUGGCUGACACUGAGGCGCGACAGCGUGGGGAGCAAACAGGG
rnacentral:rRNA from 1 species